rnacentral:rRNA from 1 species
CGAACGCUGGCGGCGUGCCUAAUACAUGCAAGUAGAACGCUGAAGAGAGGAGCUUGCUCUUCUUGGAUGAGUUGCGAACGGGUGAGUAACGCGUAGGUAACCUGCCUGGUAGCGGGGGAUAACUAUUGGAAACGAUAGCUAAUACCGCAUAAAAUGGAUUAUCGCAUGAUAAUCCAUUGAAAGGUGCAAAUGCAUCACUACCAGAUGGACCUGCGUUGUAUUAGCUAGUUGGUGGGGUAACGGCUCACCAAGGCGACGAUACAUAGCCGACCUGAGAGGGUGAUCGGCCACACUGGGACUGAGACACGGCCCAGACUCCUACGGGAGGCAGCAGUAGGGAAUCUUCGGCAAUGGACGGAAGUCUGACCGAGCAACGCCGCGUGAGUGAAGAAGGUUUUCGGAUCGUAAAGCUCUGUUGUAAGAGAAGAACGAGUGUGAGAGUGGAAAGUUCACACUGUGACGGUAUCUUACCAGAAAGGGACGGCUAACUACGUGCCAGCAGCCGCGGUAAUACGUAGGUCCCGAGCGUUGUCCGGAUUUAUUGGGCGUAAAGCGAGCGCAGGCGGUUAGAUAAGUCUGAAGUUAAAGGCUGUGGCUUAACCAUAGUACGCUUUGGAAACUGUUUAACUUGAGUGCAAGAGGGGAGAGUGGAAUUCCAUGUGUAGCGGUGAAAUGCGUAGAUAUAUGGAGGAACACCGGUGGCGAAAGCGGCUCUCUGGCUUGUAACUGACGCUGAGGCUCGAAAGCGUGGGGAGCAAACAGGAUUAGAUAC